UUUCGCUGGAGAUUUUGCUUGAGAGCCACUUGGAUUCACGCAGCAUCAGGAGGAGCUCAAGCACGACCACCAAGAGGCACCACCGCAGCAGCAGGUAGCAUGUCCAUAUCCAGCUCCCUCUCCCUCUGCUCCCAAUCCUUUUUAUUAGAAUAUACUGUGUACAUUCUGAACUCCCUAAGGUGACACAAGUAUAUGCACAUGCUAUGGUUUAAGUGUUGCUAGUGUAUGGUAAAUAGGUUGAGCACCCGCCGCUAUUUGAUGCUAUUUUGUUUAGGAUAUUGUUCCUCUAUGCAUGUAAUCUCCAGACCAUGCUCAAGCAUACACACAUGGUUGAUUUGCAUGGAACGAUUACUACUAACUAAAGAAGGAAGCAGACUUCUUCACAUAAAGGAAGAUGUCUGUUUUAGUAAUAUAAAUAAAUAAAAAAGAUUGUUUGAAUACAAUUAGAUCAUUCUCACUUAUUAGUUGAUGAUUUCAAAGUAUGUAGAAUCUUUAGUUCUCUGGUUAUAUUAUAGUCAGAAUUAUACCGUGUGCAUGAUUUUAUCCAUUGCUGGUACUAUGGAUAGAGCUUUGUGUGUAAUCUGGAGUUGUUCUUGUUAUUGUUCUAUCCAUUUUAUUGUUCUAUCCAUUUUAUUAUACUGUGUGCAUGAUUGUUCCAUUGCUGUUGCAUGAUUUUAUCCACUGUUUGCUCCAAACUGGGAGCUUGUUCUAUAUUAUUCUAUAAUGAAUCAGCUAAUAAUCUGGAGUUGUUCUUGUUAUUCAUUGCUGGUACUAUGGAUAGAGCUUUGUGUGUUUAUCAUUCUAUAAUGAAUUGUCCUUUACUCCAUUUUACUCCAGUUUUUCUAAUUCUUCUUAGCUGAUUCAUGUAACAGGGCGAUCAUGGAGGGCAUGCAGUCGUUCUGUUAGCCCAGUCCUGACUAUGGCCGUCCAGUGAGUCCGGCAUUUGAUCUCUAUCCAAGGAGCUCCAUGUUGAAGAAGAAAACACUUGUAGAGCUUGUAACAUUACUUGGAGAGCUUGUAAAGUAC
rnacentral:lncRNA from 1 species